rnacentral:rRNA from 1 species
CCUACGGGUGGCAGCAGUGAGGAAUAUUGGUCAAUGGGCGGGAGCCUGAACCAGCCAAGUCGCGUGAGGGAAGACGGUCCUAUGGAUUGUAAACCUCUUUAGGCGGGGAGCAAUGCCGGGCACGUGUGCCCGGAGGGAGAGUACCCGCAGAAUAAGCAUCGGCUAACUCCGUGCCAGCAGCCGCGGUAAUACGGAGGAUGCGAGCGUUAUCCGGAUUUAUUGGGUUUAAAGGGCGUGCAGCCGGGAAGACAAGUCAGAUGUGAAAUCCCGCGGCUCAACCGCGGAACUGCAUUUGAAACUGUUUUUCUUGAGUACCGGAGAGGUCAUCGGAAUUCCUUGUGUAGCGGUGAAAUGCGUAGAUAUAAGGAAGAACACCAGUGGCGAAGGCGGAUGACUGGACGGCAACUGACGGUGAGGCGCGAAAGCGUGGGGAGCAAACAGGAUUAGAUACCCUUGUAGUC